GGGGCUUCUGCGCAUCGAGGGGGAGCUCGCGGCUUUCCUGGAACGUGACAAGACGGAAGUAAGCAGCCGCAAGAACAACCGCAAUAAAAGCCGCCGCCGUCGCUGUCGCUAUCAGCGCACCGCAGCCGCCGCCGUCGCCGUCAACGCCACCACCGCCAUCGCCAUCGGCUUCCUCUUCUUCUCCGGCAAGCUGCUCUCACCGGAGAUUCAUCGAUGGACGGUGAUUUGGUGGAGGCUGCUACUUGUUAGAUUGGUGCAGACAAAGAGCUUUUGCUUCAAAUUUAUGUAGUUUGUCUGAACAUAUGAUGCCAUCCCUAUGAAGAACUUAUGUAUAGUUAGUUAUGAUGCUAGCCCUCUCAAGAAGUUUAUCUAGUUAGAUGAACAGAUGAUGCCAUCUUUGUUAGAUUCAUGGCUAUGUUUAAUUAGUUGUUGAAUAAGUUUUGUUUAAUUAGUCAUGACCAAGUUGCCAUAUGGCUUGUCUGCUGAGUUUUGUAUUCCUGAAGAAGAUGCAAAAAUGCUUAAUUUAUUUGGUAUA